rnacentral:rRNA from 1 species
UUUGGGUGGCGAGUGGCGGACGGGUGAGGAAUACAUCGGAAUCUACUCUGUCGUGGGGGAUAACGUAGGGAAACUUACGCUAAUACCGCAUACGACCUACGGGUGAAAGCAGGGGACCUUCGGACCUUGCGCGAUUGAAUGAGCCGAUGUCGGAUUAGCUAGUUGGCGGGGUAAAGGCCCACCAAGGCGACRAUCCGUAGCUGGUCUGAGAGGAUGAUCASCCACACUGGAACUGAGACACGGUCCAGACUCCUACGGGAGGCASCAGUGGGGAAUAUUGGACAAUGGGCGCAAGCCUGAUCCAGCCAUACCGCGUGGGUGAARAAGGCCUUCGGGUUGUAAAGCCCUUUUGUUGGGAAAGAAAUCCAGCUGGCUAAUACCCGGUUGGGAUGACGGUACCCAAAGAAUAAGSRCCGGCUAACUUCGUGCCAGCAGCCGCGGUAAUACGAAGGGUGCAAGCGUUACUCGGAAUUACUGGGCGUAAAGCGUGCGUAGGUGGUCGYUUAAGUCCGUUGUGAAARCCCUGGGCUCAACCUGGGAACUGCAGUGGAUACUGGGCGACUAGAAUGUGGUAGAGGGUAGCGGAAUUCCUGGUGUAGCAGUGAAAUGCGUAGAGAUCAGGAGGAACAUCCAUGGCGAAGGCAGCUACCUGGACCAACAUUGACACUGAGGCACGAAAGCGUGGGGAGCAAACAGGAUUAGAUACCCUGGUAGUCCACGCCCUAAACGAUGCGAACUGGAUGUUGGGUGCAAUUUGGCACGCAGUAUCGAAGCUAACGCGUUAAG